rnacentral:rRNA from 1 species
UUCCGGUUGAUCCCGCCGGACCUGACUGCUAUCGGAUUGAUACUAAGCCAUGCGAGUCUUUGUAGCAAUACAAGGCAGACGGCUCAGUAACGCGUAGUCAACCUACCCUAUGGACGGGAAUAACCUCGGGAAACUGAGUAUAAUGCCCGAUAGAACACUAUACCUGGAAGGGUUUGUGUUCCAAAUGAUUUAUCGCCGUAGGAUGGGACUGCGGCCUAUCAGUUUGUUGGUGAGGUAAUGGCCCACCAAGACUAUUACAGGUACGGGCUCUGAGAGGAGUGGCCCGGAGAUGGGUACUGAGACACGGACCCAGGCCCUAUGGGGCGCAGCAGGCGAGAAAACUUUGCAAUGUGCGAAAGCACGACAAGGUUAAUCCGAGUGAUUUGUGCUAAACGAAUCUUUUGUUAGUCAUAGAACCACUAACGAAUAAGGGGUGGGCAAGUUCUGGUGUCAGCCGCCGCGGUAAAACCAGCACCUCAAGUGGUCAGGAUGAUUAUUGGGCCUAAAGCAUCCGUAGCCGGCUCUGUAAGUUUUCGGUUAAAUCUGUACGCUCAACGUACAGGCUGCCGGGAAUACUGCAGAGCUAGGGAGUGGGAGAGGUAGACGGUACUCGGUAGGAAGGGGUAAAAUCCUUUGAUCUAUUGAUGACCACCUGUGGCGAAGGCGGUCUACCAGAACACGUCCGACGGUGAGGGAUGAAAGCUGGGGGAGCAAACCGGAUUAGAUACCCGGGUAGUCCCAGCUGUAAACUAUGCAAACUCAGUGAUGCAUUGACUUGUGGUCAAUGCAGUGCUGCAGGGAAGCCGUUAAGUUUGCCGCCUGGGAAGUACGUACGCAAGUAUGAAACUUAAAGGAAUUGGCGGGGGAGCACCACAAGGGGUGAAGCCUGCGGUUCAAUUGGAUUCAACGCCGGG